rnacentral:ncRNA from 1 species
UCACCACAACGGCUUCCUGACGUGGUGAUCUACAUAUAACGGAGCA